rnacentral:tRNA from 1 species
GCCUUCGUGGUGUAACCGGAAACACGCUCGACUCGUAACUGGGAGGUGCGGAGUACGAAUCCCGGCGAGAGCA